UACGUAGGGUGCGAGCGUUGUCCGGAAUUAUUGGGCGUAAAGAGCUCGUAGGCGGCUUGUCGCGUCGGAUGUGAAAGCCCGGGGCUUAACUCCGGGUCUGCAUUCGAUACGGGCAGGCUUGAGUUCGGUAGGGGAGAUCGGAAUUCCUGGUGUAGCGGUGAAAUGCGCAGAUAUCAGGAGGAACACCGGUGGCGAAGGCGGAUCUCUGGGCCGAUACUGACGCUGAGGAGCGAAAGCAUGGGGAGCGAACAGG
rnacentral:rRNA from 1 species